GACGUAGGUGGCGAACGUUAUCCGGAAUUAUUGGGCGUAAAGAGCGCGCAGGCGGUCGUACAAGUCGCGUGUGAAAGCCCCCGGCUCAACUGGGGAGGGUCACGCGAUACUGUUCGACUCGAAGGCAGGAGGGGGAAGCGGAAUUCCCGGUGUAGUGGUGAAAUGCGUAGAUAUCGGGAGGAACACCAGUGGCGAAGGCGGCUUCCUGGCCUGUUCUUGACGCUGAGGCGCGAAAGCUAGGGUAGCAAACGGG
rnacentral:rRNA from 1 species